rnacentral:other from 1 species
GAAAUCCUGCGGUGUGCGUUACGUUUUAUUGUGAUAAACCCACAGAGUGAUUACGGGAAAGCACGCGUCGGUCGACCUAAAAUCAAGCCCGCUUCGACGGGAAGAUUGCGGGCUCCGCAGUGUACCCACCUGCCGAGUGGCGGGUAUUAUCACCCGAAAGCGGACGGCACGGCGGGAUUUUA